UUAAUAAGGAGUAAAUUUUUAGUUUUAAUCUUUUCAUAUGUUGUUUGUGCCUUCUGAAAUCAAUUUUUUGAUAAAAGAAAAUGCAACGUGAAGUUUAUUUGUUUGCAAAGAUCUUUUAGUAUUAAAAAAUCAGCUUUAAUUUUAGAGUAUCAUCAAUGUUUAUGAAAGACUUUCUUCUCGAUGAUUCUGAAAACCCAUCUGAUAUGUCAAUACAAUGUGACAAUGUUCCGAGUAUUUCAAAUAUGCAGUGCCAAAACUGUGAAAAAAAAGUAAAGAAGAAAGAAGAAAUUUCAAAAGGAUCUUUAAAUAUUAUAGUUAAUAUUGAUAAGGAUUUGCUACAAUUGAAAGGAUUUUUUUUACUAUUUUUUGCUGGAUUUGGUUCUACGCUUCCUUACUUAGGAGUUUAUUUUAUGCAGAUUGGAAUUAAUCCUACUAAAGUUGGUAUUCUAGCAGGAAUUAGGCCAAUUAUACAGUUUAUUAGUGGACCAUUUUGGGCAUUUUUAGCAGAUAAAUAUAAAGCUCGGAAAGCUAUACUUUUGUUUUCAAUUCUUGCAUGGUUGGUCAUGACACUGUUACUAGCUUUUCCAAGACCACAUAGAGAAGUUUGUAAAAUAACGAACACCUCUUACAGUGAAGCAAAGAUAAGGUUUGAUCUACCUUCAAAUUUUUCUCAACGUAAAGAUUUUAUCCCUGGAGUAAGCUUCCAAGGAAGGUUUGGUGAGUUACUAUACACUAAAAAUUGUAUGAAUUGUAAAUCAAGCAAGUUUGUUACAACAAAAGACAUCAAUGAAAAUUUUGUUUUUAAUAAUAAGAUAAAAAAUGCGGCAUUAUUUGAAAAUGAACAACAUUUUAUAAAUACAGAAAUAAAAACGAUUAAUAAGAGACAUUCAAUAAAAAAUUUAAGAGAGAAAACAGUUGAGCAUAUCGCUACGUAUCGUCAGAAAAACUUUCAAAUAAAGUAUGUCAUAGAAAGAGAUAAAUCAGAGAUUAAAGAUAUAUUUUAUGUCUUAUUAGUUUUAACAAUUAUUGGUGAGUUUUUAGAGGCUCCAUCGUUUAUUAUGAUAGAUACAGCUCUGUUGGAACAUUUGGGAGAAAACAAAAAACAUUAUGGCAAAACCCGACUAUUUGGAAGCAUUGGCUAUGGAUCGGCAUCGUUUAUAGUUGGAGCUGUUUUAAAUAAUUUUCAAUACGAAUUUUGUGGAAAAGCAUUUACAAAUUACAUGGUGUUAUUUUACUUGUUUUCAAUAUUUAUGGGUAUUGCGUUUGUUUUUGGUUUAUCUUUUAUAAAAUUUCGAUACGUUGAUAGUAAAGAGGCAACACGACCAUCAGACUGUGUAAAAAUUUUUUUAACUUUGAAGUAUGGAUCGUUUUUAGCAAUAUGUUGGUUUUUCGGUUUGUGCCACGGUAGUAUUAUGAAUUCUUUAAACUGGUAUCUAGAAGAUUUAGGUGCUUCUAAGCUAAUGAUGGAUAUAGCCACUGCUUGCAGAUGUGCAGCUAUUAUUAUAGGUUUUUUUUUGUCCGGCUACUUAAUUGAUAAAUUUGGUCAUAUUAAACUUAUUUGCUGGGCAUUAGGCUCGUAUGUAAUUAGUUUUUUCUGUUACGCAAGUUUAAAAAAACCGUGGUGGGCUAUACCUAUCGAAGUAGCACAAGGAUUAAUAUAUGCUACAUCAUGGUCAACAUGUAUUACUUAUCUUAGUGAUGCAACUCCACAAAAUACUGCUGCAACUAUGCAAGGUGUUUUGCAAGCCGUUUAUUGGGGUUUGGGCACAGGAUCAGGUGCUAUAUUGGGAGGUAGCCUAAUCAACCUCAUAGGUGUUAGAAAUACAUUUAUAGUUGAAGUUUCUGGUGAGCUUUGUUUUUAAUGGCGUUGACACUGUUUUGACACAUCAAAGCCGUAACCACAAUAAGGGACGGGAGCCUUGCCCCCCCUUCCCUUUAAAAAAAAGUUAAACUAUAAUUAUUAGGAAUAAAUAUAUAUUUAAAAUAUUUUUAACAUGUAUAUUUACAUAUAUGCAAAAAUGGCUGCUUGUCUUCGAUGGGUCAAUAAUGAUUUACAAGCACACGAAGAGUUAUGCAUCCAUUACGAAAUAAAACUUUCGAAGAAUUUGUCCGUGUUCUCAAAGAUAUUCUCUUGAGGAUGAAUUUGAGAUUAGAAGAUGCGCGUGUUCAAUGCUAUGAAGAAGCUGUUAAUAUGUCUGUUCCUAAAUCUGGAGUAGCAACAGAGAUAAAGUUAUUUAACAAAAAGUUACACGCAAUGCUACGGCCACGCUAUAAAUUUGCCAUCGGUAAUGUCAUCAAAAAUAUUCCAAGUCUUAACGAAACCUUUGGAACAACAUAUGAUUUGUAAUAUAUAUAUUUGCAAACUUAUUAAAAAAUUACCUAAAAAAAAAUUCUAAACUAAAUGCUAUUAGGGAACUAACGGAAACAAUUUAAAGUCUAUCCAUAAAUUAUGUCCAACAAGGUGGACAGUGCGUAGCGAUAUAGGAGAGUCAUUGCAAGAGUUGAAUAAUACCGAAAUUAAAGCUAGAAUCCGAAGUGUGAAGUUUAUAAUGUCAACAUUCGACUUUAUCUUUUGUUGCUAUUUAGGAGAAUGCCUCUUGAAACAAACAGACUAAGUAAGGCGCUCCAAGUUCAAAGUAUUUCGGCAGCGGAAGAGCAGAAUUUAGCAUCUCAAGUCGUUAAUGUUCUAGAAAAAUCCGGAAGCAGCGAAAUUUACAAACUGUUUUGGGAAUGUGUUAUGACCCUAAACUCUCGAGAAAAAGGAAAAUACCGGAUAAUUUUAAAACAACUCUUAACCUACAAAAAACUUACCAUUUCCAUGGUUUACCAAAAAAACAUUAUCGUCAAUUGUAUUUCAAGGCCUUCAAUCUUAUUAUCAGUUUUAUAAAAGAGAGGUAUGAUCAACCAGAUUAUAAGGUAUAUAUUGAUCUUCAGGAAGUUCUUCUCAAGUCAAUAAACAAGGAAAGUUAGGGAAAUCAUCUGCAAUCAGUUUGUCACUUUUACUGUCAAGACAUGAUCCAAUCUUUAGCUAAAAUACAAAUUGCUCUUCUCCCAAGCAUUGCAACAUCAUUAGGUUACGACAUCAAAAAAUUCACUAUCAAAGAUCUCAUUUUGUUUUUUAAGAGUUUGGAUCAUUCUAAAAGAGCUUUACUUACCGAAGUUGUAAAGAUUACCAAGCUAAUCUUUGUCAUGCCAGCUACUAAUGCUCUUAGUGAAAGACCUUCCUCCGCUUUAAAAAGAGUUAAAAACUACCUUCUAUUAACAACAACAGAUUCCCGUGAACAACAACUUGCUUGUUCUUCAUACUCACGUGGAAGCAGGGGUUAAAAUUAAUUUGGUUGAGAUCGCAGAUGAGUUUAUUAAUAAAUGUCAAAUUGGAAUAAACAUUUUCGGAAAUUUAAUUAGCGCUUUUGUUGAGAUAAACAAUGUAUUACGCAAGUAUUACAUUUUUUAAUUGUUUCAUCAAUUUGGAGUUUGAUUAUCAUUAAAUAUACAUUAUGAAUGAAAAUCAAAGCUUUUCGUUAACCCUCCCUCCUUUAAAAGUACCAUAGGCCCCCCGAAUACUAAAAUUGUGGCUACAGCUCUGGACAUGGAGUUAGUUGAAAACAUUUACAUGCUCAUACCUAUGUCAAAUGAAGAUGCUUUGGAAAACAUUUUUGGCCCUAAUACUCCAAAAAGCUUCAGGUGUGCGAGACAUAAUGCUGUGCAAAGCAUGAAAACAUGUGAACUAAUAUUCCUUCAUUAUUUGUAAGUUAGUGUUUUAUGUUGUCCUAAUCUAAUGUUUGAACCAUAUUUAACAU